rnacentral:rRNA from 1 species
GACGAACGCUGGCGGCGCGCCUAACACAUGCAAGUCGAACGAGCGAGAGAGAGCUUGCUUUCUUGAGCGAGUGGCGAACGGGUGAGUAAAGCGUGAGGAACCUGCCUCAAAGAGGGGGACAACAGUUGGAAACGACUGCUAAUACCGCAUAAGCCCACGGAGCCGGCUGGCACAGAGGGAAAAGGGGCAAUCCGCUUUAAGAUGGCCUCGCGUCCGAUUAGCUAGUUGGUGAGGUAAGGGCCCACCAAGGCGACGAUCGGUACCCGGACUGAGAGGCUGAGCGGCCACAUUGGGACUGGGCCACAGCCCAGACUCCUACGGGAGGCAGCAGUGGGUAAUAGUGCACCAUGGGGGAAACCCUGAUGCAGCGACGCCGCGUGGAGGAAGAAGGUCUUCGGAUUGUAAACUCCUGUUGUUGGGGAAGAUAAUGACGGUACCCAAAAAGGAAGUGACGGCUAACUACGUG